ensembl:snRNA U6 U6 spliceosomal RNA
GUACUUACUGCAGCAGCACUUAUGCUAAAAUUGGAGUGAUACAGAAAAGAUUAGCAUGGCCCUUGUGCAAGGAUGGCACGCAAAUUCACGAAGUAUUAAAAAAAGAA